rnacentral:rRNA from 1 species
UACGGGGGGGGGCAAGCGUUGUUCGGAAUUACUGGGCGUAAAGGGCUCGUAGGCGGCCAACUAAGUCGGAUGUGAAAUCCCCAGGCUUAACCUGGGAACUGCAUCCGAUACUGGAUGGCUUGAAUCCGGGAGAGGGAUGCGGAAUUCCAGGUGUAGCGGUGAAAUGCGUAGAUAUCUGGAGGAACACCGGUGGCGAAGGCGGCAUCCUGGACCGGCAUUGACGCUGAGGAGCGAAAGCCAGGGGGAGCAAACGGG